GAAAAUCCAGCUAUAUCCUAAAGACCAGUUAAAUCCUUGACUCUUCUGCUACUCUGAAAACUGAAUCUCAAGAAAUAUUGACAUUCCAGAGGAGAUAGAUGUGGAGAAAUUUCUGGAGGUGCUGAAGAGAGAGCUGCUUUUGAAUAGCAGAAUGGAGCUCUCCGAGCAAGGAACAUGUUUGGGUGCCUGCCGCCUAAUCUUCCUGGUCGCCACACUUCAAUUAUAAAGACUGCUUAAAGAGGACCUCCAGGUAUUUC
rnacentral:lncRNA from 1 species